rnacentral:rRNA from 1 species
CCAAUAGCGUAUAUUAAAGUUGCUGCAGUUAAAAAGCUCGUAGUUGAAUUUCGGGACCAUCAUGUCGGUCGUGCCUCGGUACGUACUGGCAUUGUUGGUUUCUACCUUCUGACGAACCAUGAUGUCAUUUAUUUGGUGUCGUGGGAAAUCAGGACUGUUACUUUGAAACAAUUAGAGUGUUUAAAGCAGGCUCACGCUUGAAUACAUUAGGAUGGAAUAAUGAAAUAGGACGUUUGAUUCUAUUUUGUUGGUUUCUAGGAUCGACGUAAUGAUUAAUAGGGAUAGUUGGGGGCAUUAGUAUUCAAUUGUCAGAGGUGAAAUUCUUGGAUUUAUUGAAGACUAACUACUGCGAAAGCAUUUGCCAAGGAUGUUUUCAUUAAUCAAGAACGAAAGUUAGGGGAUCGAAGACGAUCAGAUACCGUCGUAGUCUUAACCAUAAACUAUGCCGACUAGGGAUCGGAUGAUAUUAAUUUUUUAAUGACUCAUUCGGCGCCUUACG